rnacentral:rRNA from 1 species
GACGAACGCUGGCGGCGUGCUUAACACAUGCAAGUCGAACGGAAAGGCCCUGCUUUUGUGGGGUGCUCGAGUGGCGAACGGGUGAGUAACACGUGAGUAACCUGCCCUUGACUUUGGGAUAACUUCAGGAAACUGGGGCUAAUACCGGAUAGGAGCUCCUGCUGCAUGGUGGGGGUUGGAAAGUUUCGGCGGUUGGGGAUGGACUCGCGGCUUAUCAGCUUGUUGGUGGGGUAGUGGCUUACCAAGGCUUUGACGGGUAGCCGGCAUGAGAGGGUGACCGGCCACAUUGGGCCUGAGAGACGGCGCAGAAUCCUACGGGAGGCAGCAGUGGGGAAUCUUGCACAAUGGGCGGACGCCUGAUGCAGAAACGCCGCGUGCGGGAUGACGGCCUUCGGGUUGUAAACCGCUUUCGACUGUGACGAAGCGUGAGUGACGGUAAUGGGUAAAGAAGCACCGGCUAACUACGUG